rnacentral:tRNA from 1 species
GGGCCCGUAGCUCAACAGGCAGAGCACCGGACUCCAAAUCCGGGGGCUGGGGGUUCAAGUCCUCCCGGGCCUG